rnacentral:rRNA from 1 species
UGGGGAAUUUUGGACAAUGGGCGAAAGCCUGAUCCAGCAAUGCCGCGUGUGUGAAGAAGGCCUUCGGGUUGUAAAGCACUUUUGUCCGGAAAGAAAUCCUUGGCUCUAAUACAGUCGGGGGAUGACGGUACCGGAAGAAUAAGCACCGGCUAACUACGUGCCAGCAGCCGCGGUAAUACGUAGGGUGCAAGCGUUAAUCGGAAUUACUGGGCGUAAAGCGUGCGCAGGCGGUUUGCUAAGACCGAUGUGAAAUCCCCGGGCUCAACCUGGGAACUGCAUUGGUGACUGGCAGGCUAGAGUAUGGCAGAGGGGGGUAGAAUUCCACGUGUAGCAGUGAAAUGCGUAGAGAUGUGGAGGAAUACCGAUGGCGAAGGCAGCCCCCUGGGCCAAUACUGACGCUCAUGCACGAAAGCGUGGGGAGCAAAACAGGAUUAGAUACCCCUGGUAGUCCACGCCCUAAACGAUGUCAACUAGUUGUUGGGGAUUCAUUUCCUUAGUAACGUAGCUAACGCGUGAAGUUGACCGCCUGGGGAGUACGGUCGCAAGAUUAAAACUCAAAGGAAUUGACGGGGUCAUAGCUG